UGAUAGAGGUCGCGAUCGACAAGAGUAGCCCGUGUGCAGGCAGGCAAGCGCAGGCGGGGGAAAGGGGAGAUCGCCGAGGAGCGGACCAGCAGCCUGAGCUCGUCCGUGUCCGGGGCAGCGGAGAACAUCCGUUGAACUGUCGCCCGAAGGGGCGGAGAGCUGUCAGA
rnacentral:ncRNA from 1 species